GACGAACGCUGGCGGCGUGCUUAACACAUGCAAGUCGAGCGGUAAGGCCCUUUCGGGGGUACACGAGCGGCGAACGGGUGAGUAACACGUGGGUGACCUGCCCUCAGCUCUGGGAUAAGCCUGGGAAACCGGGUCUAAUACUGGAUAUGACUCCAUGACGCAUGUUGUGGGGUGGAAAGCCUUGUGCGGCUGAGGAUGGGCCCGCGGCCUAUCAGCUUGUUGGUGGGGGAUGGCCUACCAAGGCGACGGACGGGUAGCCGGCCUGAGGAGGGCGGACCGGCCACACGUGGGAC
rnacentral:rRNA from 1 species